rnacentral:rRNA from 1 species
GACGAACGCUGGCGGCGUGCCUAAUACAUGCAAGUCGAACGCUGAAGAGAGGAGCUUGCUCUUCUUGGAUGAGUUGCGAACGGGUGAGUAACGCGUAGGUAACCUGCCUGGUAGCGGGGGAUAACUAUUGGAAACGAUAGCUAAUACCGCAUAAAAUUGAUUAUUGCAUGAUAAUUAAUUGAAAGAUGCAACUGCAUCACUACCAGAUGGACCUGCGUUGUAUUAGCUAGUUGGUGAGGUAACGGCUCACCAAGGCGACGAUACAUAGCCGACCUGAGAGGGUGAUCGGCCACACUGGGACUGAGACACGGCCCAGACUCCUACGGGAGGCAGCAGUAGGGAAUCUUCGGCAAUGGGGGGAACCCUGACCGAGCAACGCCGCGUGAGUGAAGAAGGUUUUCGGAUCGUAAAGCUCUGUUGUAAGAGAAGAACGGGUGUGAGAGUGGAAAGUUCACACUGUGACGGUAUCUUACCAGAAAGGGACGGCUAACUACGUG